AGCGAACGCUGGCGGCAGGCCUAACACAUGCAAGUCGAACGAACUCUUCGGAGUUAGUGGCGGACGGGUGAGUAACACGUGGGAACGUGCCUUUUGGUUCGGAAUAACUCAGGGAAACUUGUGCUAAUACCGAAUGUGCCCUUCGGGGGAAAGAUUUAUCGCCAUUAGAGCGGCCCGCGUCUGAUUAGCUAGUUGGUGAGGUAACGGCUCACCAAGGCGACGAUCAGUAGCUGGUCUGAGAGGAUGACCAGCCACACUGGGACUGAGACACGGCCCAGACUCCUCCGGGAGGCAGCAGUGGGGAAUCUUGCGCAAUGGGCGAAAGCCCGACGCCGCCAGGCCGGGUGAAUGAUGAAGGUUUUAGGAUUGUAAAAUUUUUUCACCGGGGACGAUAAUGCCGGGACCCGGAGAAGACACCCCGGCCAACUUCGG
rnacentral:rRNA from 1 species